rnacentral:rRNA from 1 species
CACGUAGGCACCAAGCGUUGUCCGGAUUUAUUGGGCGUAAAGAGCUCGUAGGCGGUUCAGUAAGUCGGGUGUGAAAACUUUGGGCUUAACCCAAAGCGUGCAUCCGAUACUGCUGUGACUUGAGUUCGGUAGGGGAGCAGGGAAUUCCCGGUGUAGUGGUGGAAUGCGUAGAGUAUUGGGAAGAACACCGGUGGCGAAGGCAGCUCGCUGGGACGUUACUGACGCUGAGACGCGAAAGCGUGGGGAGCAAACAGGG